rnacentral:rRNA from 1 species
GAUGAACGCUGGCGGCGUGCUUAACACAUGCAAGUCGAACGGAACUACUCCAAUGAGAGUCUUCGGCAAGGAUUUGGUUUCGUUUAGUGGCGGACGGGUGAGUAACGCGUGGGUAACCUGCCCUAUACAGGGGGAUAACAGUUGGAAACGACUGUUAAUACCGCAUAAGCGCACAGGAGCGCAUGCUCCGGUGUGAAAAACUCCGGUGGUAUAGGAUGGACCCGCGUCUGAUUAGCUGGUUGGCGGGGUAACGGCCCACCAAGGCGACGAUCAGUAGCCGGCCUGAGAGGGUGAACGGCCACAUUGGGACUGAGACACGGCCCAAACUCCUACGGGAGGCAGCAGUGGGGAAUAUUGCACAAUGGGGGAAACCCUGAUGCAGCGACGCCGCGUGAGCGAAGAAGUAUCUCGGUAUGUAAAGCUCUAUCAGCAGGGAAGAAAAUGACGGUACCUGACUAAGAAGCCCCGGCUAACUACGUG